CCUUCAUCUCUGACCACAAGCUCCACACAGUUCUGAAGUUUUCCACAAGGUACUUGUUUACAUCUAGUGCCUGUACAUCUAGUACAUCUCAGAGGCUGAGUCUGAGAAAGGUUACACUAUCUAGACACAGGUCUAGGGAUGCAUCAGGACCUGAGGGACAAGCCAGUCUGUAGAUCCUGGAAGCACAAGAGUAGAAGCCACGAUGAGGUAAGCAGCUUCCUCUAACACAAAGUCCUGCCAUAAUGAACCAUGUGCCUUGCUACAGUCCCAAAAGCAACAGGCCAACCAACUGUGGACUGAAACCUCCAAAACUGUGAGCCAAAAUAAACCUUUCCUCUUUCUAAGCUGAUUAUCUGAGGUAUUUGUUAUAGCAAUAGAAAGCUGACUAAAAUAGCCUACAAUGGAUUGCAAUACAUCAAAUAUGUUAAAAAUCUGUAUGUUCAUAAAGACACAGAAAAGAAUUUGUUAGUUUUGGAGGUUGUUAGGAAAACAAGACAUUAUCCUGAAAACUAGUAAAGAAUCAAGCAUUUAUUGUAGCUUUCCCAUGUAAACUCUAUCAUUGAAAAUAAAAAAUUAGUUGAUUAAAAAAAAGUUCAGAAAGAAUGUGUUUCCUUGUGGUCACAGUUCCUGUGAAGCAGCUCCUCUUCCACAGACACAGCUGUCACUUAGUUCCUGGAACACUGUCCUUUCCCCAUGCACCUUCAGGGCAAAGGAUGCUGUAUUAGUUUGCAAGGGCUGCUGUAAUAAAGAACCACAAACUGAGUGACUUAAACAGCAGAAUUGUAUUAUUUCACAGUUCUGGGGGCUAGAAGUCUGAGAUCAAGGUGUCAGUUGGGUU
ensembl:lncRNA